AUGUGGGCGUCACUUUAACUUCAUCUGUCAACGUGAGAGACGUAAUUUAAACUAUAUCGGCGAAUGUCAGUCUUCUCCUUGUGGCAAAGAUCACUCAUGCAUAAAUAUCCCAGGCUCCUACGAAUGCCUAUGCUCCUUUGGAUACAAACUUGACAAAUCCAAAAAGAAAUGUAUUACAAGCUGUCCUUCUUAUUGGU